rnacentral:rRNA from 1 species
GGGAUAACAGUUAGAAAUGACUGCUAAUACCGCAUAAGACCACGGUACCGCAUGGUACAGUGGUAAAAACUCCGGUGGUAUGAGAUGGACCCGCGUCUGAUUAGGUAGUUGGUGGGGUAACGGCCUACCAAGCCGACGAUCAGUAGCCGACCUGAGAGGGUGACCGGCCACAUUGGGACUGAGACACGGCCCAGACUCCUACGGGAGGCAGCAGUGGGGAAUAUUGCACAAUGGAGGAAACUCUGAUGCAGCGACGCCGCGUGAAGGAUGAAGUAUUUCGGUAUGUAAACUUCUAUCAGCAGGGAAGAAAAUGACGGUACCUGACUAAGAAGCCCCGGCUAACUACGUGCCAGCAGCCGCGGUAAUACGUAGGGGGCAAGCGUUAUCCGGAUUUACUGGGUGUAAAGGGAGCGUAGACGGCACGGCAAGCCAGAUGUGAAAGCCCGGGGCUCAACCCCGGGACUGCAUUUGGAACUGCUGAGCUAGAGUGUCGGAGAGGCAAGUGGAAUUCCUAGUGUAGCGGUGAAAUGCGUAGAUAUUAGGAGGAACACCAGUGGCGAAGGCGGC